UACAGAGGUCCCGAGCGUUGUUCGGAUUCACUGGGCGUAAAGGGUGCGUAGGCGGUUUGGCAAGUCUUGUGUGAAAUCUUUGGGCUCAACCCAAAGUCUGCACAAGAAACUGCCGGGCUUGAGUAUGGGAGAGGUGAGUGGAAUUUCCGGUGUAGCGGUGAAAUGCGUAGAUAUCGGAAGGAACACCUGUGGCGAAAGCGGCUCACUGGACCAUUACUGACGCUGAGGCACGAAAGCUAGGGGAGCAAACAGG
rnacentral:rRNA from 1 species